GGCUGUGGGCGCAGCUGAGGCUGGAGGAGGCCGGCGGAGGGCACCGAGCGCCCGGGGAGUCCGUGCUCCUCUCCUGCCGCGGGUCCGGCUUCACCUUCGAGAAUCAUUAUGUUCGCUGGUACCGUCAGGCACCCGGAGUGGGGGUCGAGUGGGUGUCCUGGAUAAGCCAUUAUUCAUCACAGAUUCAGUUUGGGCCAGCAGUGGAGGGUCGAGCCACAGCCUCCCGGGACAAUUCCCGCUCUGAGGCAUCUCUCAGCCUGCACCUCCUGCACGCCGGGGACUCUGCCCGCUACUUCUGUGCUGUUUGCACAGAGAUAGGAAAUCGGCUGAGCUUGAACACAAACCACCCGUCAGUGUCCCAGCCUCGGAGCUGGAAGGGGCUGUGUCCCACAGAUGUGCAGGGUUGGUCCCAAAGAGUCCUGUAGUCACAGCCUAGAAUUUUCAAAUAUUUGAAUGUACUUUUUGCUGUCCCCUAAUGAGCUCUAACCCUUAUGCUUGUCUUCUCAAUUUUCAAGUCAGCUCAUCUCUCACCUCCCAAACUGCUUCACCUUUAGAAGCAACUUUUCCUGUUUCCCUUGGAAACCGGAAAACUGGAAAUACUGGAAACCAGUAUUACAGGUACCCAGUGCAAAUGGUGAGGUGUGAACAGCCCUGCUGUGGUUUUGGGCAGGGUUCAUGUUCACUCAGUCUAGCUCAUGAGUUUUGCUCCCUGAGGGGUGAGAAGAGGAAAUGGGGAAAUUCUAGAUGGUCAUUUGGGAGCUCAGUGGAAGAUUACGGAACCCUGUGUUUCUUUACCAGAUCUGAGAUUCUAAAGGGAGCAAGGUUUUGCAGCUGCUGGAUCCUGGAGAUCACAAGCAGAAACCCAGGGAUGUGGUGGAGCAGUUUAAGUGACUGCUUAAGCUGUUCCUGUCUGUUCAUCCUUGUCUGCUGGGGUUGUAGGUGGCCUUUCCCAAGUGCAGACA